AACCAUUUGUAUCUGUACUGAGAUUUCGUCUCACACCAGACCACAAGGGCUGAUGAGACUUUCAAGAUAAGUGAAGUG
rnacentral:pre_miRNA from 1 species